UGGGGGAUAUUGGUCAAUGGGGGAAACCCUGAACCAGCAACGCCGCGUGAAGGAAGAAGGUCUUCGGAUUGUAAACUUUUGUCUUUGGGGAAGAUAAUGACGGUACCCAAGGAGGAAGCUCCGGCUAACUACGUGCCAGCAGCCGCGGUAAUACGUAGGGAGCGAGCGUUGUCCGGAAUUACUGGGUGUAAAGGGUGCGUAGGCGGGAAAACAAGUCAUAUGUGAAAUGCUGCGGCUUAACUGCAGAGCUGCAUAAGAAACUGUUUUUCUUGAGUGGAGGAGAGGUAAGCGGAAUUCCUAGUGUAGCGGUAAAAUGCGUAGAUAUUAGGAGGAACACCAGUGGCGAAGGCGGCUUACUGGACUUUAACUGACGCUGAGGCACGAAAGCGUGGGGAGCAAACA
rnacentral:rRNA from 1 species